AGGCGCAGCGAGAACCGCAAGGGGGAAACCCGACGAAGCGACGCCGCGGCAGGAGAAGGCCCGGGGAAUCGCGCACCGGGACGAACCGACGGACAAACAGAACCCGACGGACCGAGAGAGGAAGCCACGGCAACC
rnacentral:rRNA from 1 species